rnacentral:lncRNA from 10 species
UAGCUGAUGCAACUUAACAAACACCAAUCAGGACUUUUAUUAGUAAGAAGAAAACUAGGAAAGCUGUUGUUUUAUAACAUUAAUGGUCUGCUACUUUUAACUUUGAUUUUUCAUGGAUUUUUUAAAAGUAAUUUCAAGUGUAAGAGACAAUUUAGGCAAAUCAUAACAUAUUUUAUCAGAGACUGUGCACAAAGGGCACUUUUAGGUAGCUUCAUUCUCCACAGGUUCUAUACAUAAAUCAUGAGGUGUUACGAGAAUAUUGGUCCAGGAAUCAGAAAAGUGUGGAAUUUACAAUCACCUAAAGCAAUAUGACUUUAAGAAAAUCUGUUACCUCCCAUCAUCUCCCUUUCCCAUCUGUUAACAUUUGGUGGUGAUAGAUUUAGAUGAGUUGACAUUGUUAGAUACUUUCUAUUAUAAGAGGUUGUCUUUGGUAGAAUUCUAUGAUUCUAAAGUGCUGUGACUACAAGUGUGGACAGGUGUAAUCACUUUACCUCUACACUGCCCGCUGCAUGCUGACACUGCCUUUCAUAUGGUGGGCAUUCAACAGCAACAUUCCUGUGGAGUAUAGAUGGCUAUGACUAAGGUAGUGUAAGUGGUGGUCCUUAUAAAAUAUGCUCUGCUUGCCUUAGGGGAAAAUAGUUCCUUAAAAACGUUCUCAUCCAACUCCUCAGUGUUAAGAUAUCUAAACAAAAGUGACCACAUCUAUACACAACAGUAAUGACACCUGAAAGAAUUUUUUAACAGAUAAAGAACAGUACUCCCAUGGUUAUGUAACCAACCAACUAGGAAGGAGAGACUUUAAAAUUGACAACAUCCCAGAGAUGUUAUAUCCUAAGUUAUGAAUGUGCUGCCGUUGAAGAAAAAUCAGCUUUCUCAUAUUACUCACAUAUAUAUAUUAUUACAUAACAAUGUGUUAAAUUGGACUACAGUGAAUCAAAGAGUUAUUGCAGCUUCUGAAGGUGACAGACUUUUAACUUUCAGAUAUUGCUUAAUGCCUGGGAAACCCUGGGAACCACGCCAAGUCAAUUUAACCAAGCUUUUGCUUUUUAGCCAGCUGUGAUGGUGGUUUCUACAUAGUCUGGAUAAAUCCAAGAAUACUUUCAUGGCCCUAGUGAAAUUUGCCUUUUUGAAAUUAUUAGGAAAACGAAAUACACAUUAUGAAACUUCUAUCACUCCUAAAGAAAGGGGAAAACCUAUUAAAAAUGAAGCUCUUAUUUACUAAUGCAUUUCUAUUUCAGGAGCAUUUGGCUAAACUGGGGACAAAAAACAAAAACUUGUUCUUAAUUAACAAAAGAACUAGAAAGAAGCUCAUAUGAAAGCACCACCUUGUGUUCAGUAAGCUUCAGGAUAGCUCUGUUGACAGCAGGGCAUUUAGAGAGUCCCAAGUAUAGUCAUGUAUCACUGGGGAGGGAAGAAUCUUUGAGGACAUCUAGUUUACAAUCUUUAUUAUUUUUCAGGUGUAGAAAAGAGAUUAAAGAUCAUAGAAGUCAGAAUAAAUUUGUAAAAGUUCUCAUAGUCAAAACAGCUAAGUAAUGGCAUUGCCCAGACUCCAAAAUCCUGACCAGAAUAUAAAUCACCAAUUGUUGGUUUAAAGGGGUUAUUUGUGAAUCAUUUUCCAAAAAAAGAAGUACACUUUUUGUGUUACUUACCAUUUCAAAGAAACUUAUUCUUCAAGACCAUUUCAGAUUUCCUUAGGAAUGUAUGUGUUACCCAUAAUUGACCACUUCAAACUUGUAAGAAAAAAAAUGUUAUGGUCAUUUUGUUAUUUUUAGAGACAAAGUAUUUCUAAUCUAGGUUUGCAUACAACCUUGAGGCUGUGAGAUCAUUAGUCAAUUGCUUUAAUUAUAAGCCCUGUUUUUUUUUUAAAUCUAAAAACUAAUAAACAUCUAUAAGAAUU